rnacentral:misc_RNA from 1 species
AGCAGCCGCGGUAAUUCCAGCUCCAAUAGCGUAUAUUAAAGUUGUUGCAGUUAAAAAGCUCGUAGUUGAAUUUCGGGAUCAAUAUAUCGGUCGUGCCUUGGUACGUACUGGUAUCAUUGGUUUCUCCUUUCUGACGAACCAUGAUGUCAUUAAUUUGGUGUUUUGGGGAAUUUGGACUGUUACUUUGAAAAAAUUAGAGUGUUUAAAGCAAGCUAACGCUUGAAUGCAUUAGCAUGGAAUAAUGAAAUAGGACGUUUGAUUCUAUUUUGUUGGUUUCUAGGAUCGACGUAAUGAUUAAUAGGGAUAGUUGGGGGCAUUAGUAUUCAAUUGUCAGAGGUGAAAUUCUUGGAUUUAUUGAAGACUAACUACUGCGAAAGCAUUUGCCAAGGAUGUUUUCAUUAAUCAAGAACGAAAGUUAGGGGAUCGAAGACGAUCAGAUACCGUCGUAGUCUUAACCAUAAACUAUGCCGACUAGGGAUCG